rnacentral:lncRNA from 1 species
GAAAGAAAGAGGCAAUUAUUCAAAGAACAUGAUACAGACUAUGACAGAAGCAAAAGUGGGCUGUGGCUAUUUGAAAAUCAGAGCAUCUUUUAAAAGGGAGACGGCAUCUGAACCUUGCCGAGUAGGAAUGUUCCAGAAGUAAGAGAGAUGACUAGGGUUUCAAGAACAAGGACCAGCACCUAUGAAGGCUCUGAGGCACAGACCACUGUGACCUGUGGAGAAGUGAUCUCUGCUUCUCUCCAUCUGUUGGACUCAUUCUUUCCUCACAUAGCAGAGCUUUAUUCACACUGCAGGAGACGUGGCAUGGGCAGCUCCAGGCUUCAUCAACCUAGAUUUGCAACUCCCAAGGAAACAAAGAUUUCUCUCUCCUAGCACUCAGAGCAGACAGUCUUGAUAAGGGGCGGGAGGAACGGACGCAACAAGGAGAAAGGAAGCAACGGAAGGUCUUCGGCUGCUAAAAAAUGUAACUGACAAAGAGUCCAGGGCUGUUUGUAUUUUUCUUCCUCUGUGUCUCAUAUUAAACACUUUGGGUCUGAUGACUGAGUUUCUC